UAGGGAAUCUUCCACAAUGGACGAAAGUCUGAUGGAGCAAUGCCGCGUGAGUGAAGAAGGUUUUCGGAUCGUAAAACUCUGUUGUGAGGGAAGAACAAGUACGAGAGUAACUGCUCGUACCUUGACGGUACCUCAUUAGAAAGCCACGGCUAACUACGUGCCAGCAGCCGCGGUAAUACGUAGGUGGCAAGCGUUGUCCGGAAUUAUUGGGCGUAAAGCGCGCGCAGGCGGUCCUUUAAGUCUGAUGUGAAAUCCCAGGGCUCAACCGUGGAAGGGCAUGGGAAGCUGGGGGACUUGAGUACAGAAGAGGAAAGCGGAAUUCCAAGUGUAGCGGUGAAAUGCGUAGAGAUUUGGAGGAACACCAGUGGCGAAGGCGGCUUUCUGGGCUGUAACUGACGCUGAGGCGCGAAAGCGUGGGGAGCAAACA
rnacentral:rRNA from 1 species